ACUUAGUGGUGAGGAUAUUUCUUUUGCAUAUCCUUAAACCAUUCUCAUGCCUCAUGUAUAUUGUCCUCUUCAUAUUACUGGAAACCAGUAGUGCCAUUCCGCAAUUU
rfam:Gossypium raimondii chromosome 6, whole genome shotgun sequence.